AUUGAACGCUGGCGGCAGGCCUAACACAUGCAAGUCGAGCGGAUGAAGGGAGCUUGCUCCUGGAUUCAGCGGCGGACGGGUGAGUAAUGCCUAGGAAUCUGCCUGGUAGUGGGGGAUAACGUCCGGAAACGGGCGCUAAUACCGCAUACGUCCUGAGGGAGAAAGUGGGGGAUCUUCGGACCUCACGCUAUCAGAUGAGCCUAGGUCGGAUUAGCUAGUUGGUGGGGUAAAGGCCUACCAAGGCGACGAUCCGUAACUGGUCUGAGAGGAUGAUCAGUCACACUGGAACUGAGACACGGUCCAGACUCCUACGGGAGGCAGCAGUGGGGAAUAUUGGACAAUGGGCGAAAGCCUGAUCCAGCCAUGCCGCGUGUGUGAAGAAGGUCUUCGGAUUGUAAAGCACUUUAAGUUGGGAGGAAGGGCAGUAAGUUAAUACCUGUGUUUUGACGUUACCAACAGAAUAAG
rnacentral:rRNA from 1 species